CCGUGAAUCACAACAUCCUUCAAAAAAAAACUUGAAGUGUAUGGGGUAAAAAAUAACAACUUACUUUGGUUUAAAGAUUAUUUAUCAAACAGAAAGCAAUAUAUUCAGUAUAAAACAACAAAAAUAACAAAUCCGUUUUUUAAAAAAAGGGUCGAAAGAAAUCUUCCAGUGCUCAAAACCGUGCCAAAGCUACUAAAAAAGCAGCAAAAGAAGUAGAAAAAAGACUUUAUAAGGGAUUUAUAACCAUAACACGGACAAAAUAUAGUGGCUCCUCUCCAAACAUCCAGUUAAACCCUCCUGUAAGUUUGUAACCUGUUGCGUUCAAUAUGUAUGAUUCGAAGGACUGUGGAACAGAGGGGGUUUAAAUCAAUUCACCUGAAGCUUAGCCAAAUUAAAUUCUCAAAAGUGACUCAUCAGAGUCAAAGGAAGAACUUUAUCCAACAGAGGCAAAUGUAAUGUGUAAUGUGGUAAUAAUCAAUGCUGACCAAGCUUGGUAAUAAAUAAUGCUAACCCCU